GCAGGGGUAGCCAAGCCUGGUCAACGACGCAAGGUUCAGGGCCUUGUCCUGCAGAGGUCCAAGGGUUCGAAUCCCUUCCCCUGCA
rnacentral:tRNA from 1 species